rnacentral:lncRNA from 1 species
GACACUAAUAAAUCAUUUAUUGAGUUCAUUAUUCAUGACACUAAUACUUAUUCAUACAUUUGUAAAUAUCAAAUAUCAUACACAGUGUACAAGCACAAAUGAUAUGUAAAGUGAAUGCUUUUAGUAAUGCAUCCAAAGAACAAAAGUAGUGAUCGACUAAUUCUACUCUGUACAAAUUUGAACAAUUUAAAAGAUGUCAACACACAACUACACUAAGAUCGUUCAUAACUCAAAUAAUUCCCUUAACUUGCACAAUAAAUAUAGCGACAACGAUUCGGGGAUCCAUCUUUUCACAACUCAAGAUUCUCUUGCCAGUAAUUAAACUGACAUCCUUCAAAUGCUGCACAAAAAGUCCACAUAAGAAAGAAUUAUAACAAUAUAAUAAAAGAAAAAAGGUAAAAGUGUCUUGCAUAUGUUUUUCAACUACAUUAUUACUAGUAAUCCGGAUUGUAAACCGGGAAGAAUUAUUACAAUAGUGCUUUGAUCGUUAAAAGAAUUCAAAGCUAAGAACUUUACCAGGAACCAGACAAACUAUUGCAACUCAGUUUUGUGUAAGCUAUUGCAUUAUGCUGCAUCUGAUACAGAAACAAAGAACAUCAGUUAGAAGAAAUUGCCCAAAGCAACAAAGAACGAGGAAGGGAUAAACCAAUACUUUUACAAUAUCAUAACUAUAGCCGAUAAGAUCCUUAAAGAUUUAACUACUCUACUCCAUAAAGUGUCUCAAAAAAGAUAAGCUAUAAUUUAUUAAGAGUUCAUUUCUAUAGUAUUCAAAAAGGCCUCUCGGGAAUGGAUAAGCUAAUUUGUUUUCUUCUAACUAAUGAGGUGAUAAGUAAAUCUAAUAUUAUUGAUUUUAAAUGGUAAAAAGUAGAUCUGAUCAAGAAGUUUUCAUACACUCCGAGGUUACAAUAAUUCUUUAAUAGUUACUAGUAUGAUACACAAGGCAUCUGCAACCAAGGAGGAGCUAAUCAAAUAAAAAACUAUUGAUUACGAGUAAAAUCAGAUGUCAUAAAGAAUUUUUAUAUAUUCUAAUAUUACCAAAAUUCUUACACAAUAAAACUCACAGCACCUACAGCAAUUUUAACAGCCUUAUAGGGGCAUCAUCCGAUUAUAAAAAGGUGUACCAGUUCUCUUUAAUAACAAUAAACUGAACCGUUCAAAUUUUUAUGGAUCCGUUGUAAAAAAUCCAAGGUUAAAUGGUGUCUUAAAAUUCACUCCAAGCCUACAGACAAGGUUGGUGAGAAAAAUUAGGCUAACUGAAAUUCUACAGCCAAUUUUGCAAACCCGAACAAUUACACUCAUCUAACCUUAUGGAACUAUCCAAUAGCAAGUCCGUAAAUUCUUUAAUUUUACAAAAAGCAACUAAAGAGGAAAGAGGGAAAAUUUGAUUAACUAUUAGAUUACUUUCGGAAGUAGUGAAAAUUGAAAUAAGCCUUACGAACAACAGCUUGAACAACACCAAUCUGUAAUGAAAAAGCCACAACAAUUUAAACCCAAGUUACAUGCAUCUAAACCCUAGAACACACACCAUUAUUCACCCACCGACAGAGCCUAUCAUUCUAAAUAUCAAAUAUUCAACAAUAGAAGUAAUUAAAAAGAAAAACAUAUAAAAAACAAACCAUUGAACGAAUUAUUUAGGUAUAUUCGGGUAAGAUUGAUAAAUUGUAAAAAAAGAAUAUAUAGGAGUGGCAGAAAAAGAUAUAGAUAUAAAAAUUGCUAUCGAGAUAGAGAGAGAGUUCGGAUUACCUCAUGAUGGUGGCCGGUGAUGGUGGGGUAGAAGGGAAAGUACGACAAUGGUUCGGAACAAACUGACGGCGUGGUGAGCAAAGGGAAUUUUAGUGAGUAAAAACGAAUUGCGGGGAUUGAAUUAUUAGUAAUCUUUUAGAGGGAAUCAGGGGAAUAACUUACGUUUUACCUUUUAAAAAU